AACGAACGCUGGCGGCAGGCUUAACACACGCAAGUCGAACGCACUCUUCGGAGUGAGUGGCAGACGGGUGAGUAACGCGUGGGAAUCUACCCAGUCCUUCGGAAUAGUUCCUGGAAACGGGAAUUAAUACCGGAUACGCCCUUUUGGGGAAAGAUUUAUCGGGAUUGGAUGAGCCCGCGUAAGAUUAGCUAGUUGGUGGGGUAAUGGCCUACCAAGGCGACGAUCUUUAGCUGGUCUGAGAGGAUGAUCAGCCACACUGGGACUGAGACACGGCCCAGACUCCUACGGGAGGCAGCAGUGGGGAAUAUUGGACAAUGGGCGCAAGCCUGAUCCAGCCAUGCCGCGUGAGUGAUGAAGGCCUUAGGGUUGUAAAGCUCUUUCACCGGUGAAGAUAAUGACGGUAACCGGAGAAGAAGCCCCGGCUAACUUCGUGCCAGCAGCCGCGGUAA
rnacentral:rRNA from 1 species